AUGAAAUAGUUGGUUUUAAAGGGACAGUUCAGCCAAAAAUUUAAAAUUCAGUCAUUUUUUUGCUAAGGUCUGACAUGAAUGAUGCCAAAUCAUUGGAUGUCUGAUCACAUAAUGACCAUUUAAAAUAUAUUAAUUCUGUGAGAUUUAAAUGCAAAUUCUAUAUAUGAGCCAAAACAUUAUGACCAGUCACAGGUGAAGCAAAUAUCGUUGAUCAUUUCCUAACAAGGCCACAUAUUAAGUUUGGGUAGAUUAGAUGGUAAACAAAUAAUCAGUUCUCGUAAUUAACAUGUUAGAUGUGGGAGAAAUUGGGGCUUGAGGCUUGUGUGUUGCUCCAGUCAGCAGUGGUGAGAAUUUACCAAGUGUCCGAGGAGGAACAAACACAAACCGGCGACAGGGAGUUGGGCACUCAUGACUCAUCGAUGCACGAGGGCAACGAAGGCUAUCCUGUCUAAUCUGAGCCAACAGAAGGUCUGCUGCGGCACAAGUCACACAAAAUUUUAAUGAUGGUUAUGGGACGAAUGUGUCACAUUGCACUCAUCUGUGUAUGGGGCUGCGUAGCCCAAUGACGCAGUUCCAAUGAUGACCCCUUUCCACCUUCGAAAGCGCCUACAAUAGGUGCACGAGCGUCUGAACUGGACCUCAGGGAAGCGGAAGAAGGUCGCCUGGUCCAAUGAGUCCCAUUUACUUUUACUUCACAUUGACAGCCGUGUACGUGUGCACCAUUUACCUGGGGAAGUAAUGGCAGCAGGAUCACUGUGGGACGAUGACAAUCUAGUGUAGGGAGUAUGACGCUCUGGGCAAUGAUCUGCUGGGAAACCCUGGGUCUGGCCAUUUAUUUGGACGUAAAUUUGACAUGUGGCCCCUACCUAAACAGGUACACCCCUUCAUGACAAUGUUGUUCCCUCUUUCAGCAGGAUAAUGAACCUGCCACACUGCACAUAUUGUUCAGGAAUGAUUUGAGGAACAUGAUGAAGAGUUCAAGAUGUUGCCCUGGCCUCCAAAUUUCCCAGAUCUCAACCCAAUCGAGAAUCUGUUGGAUGUGCUGGACCAAUAAGUUCGAUCCACGAUGGGUCCACCUCACAACCUACAGGACUUGAAGGAUCUGCUGCUAACAUCUCGGUGCCAGAUACCACAGGACACCUUCGGGGCUCUCGUAGAGUCAAUGCCUCAGCAGGUCGGUGCUGUUUUGGACCAACAAGCAUAUUAGGCAGGUGGUCAUAAUGUUUUGGCUCAACGAAAGCUACUGACUUCAAAAGACAUGGAAUAUAAUUUUAUGCACCUAUAUGGCAUUUUUCUUCACUGUUAAGUUUAAAAUGAAUUUUAAAAAGCAGCUUGAACAUUCAGCUAAUCAUCUCCAUCUGUGGUCUACAAAAAAAGAACAUCCUACGGGAUGGACCAGCAUGGGGGUCUCUCCACUGCUCGAUGGGUUGUGCCAGGUCCAGGGUGUUCAUGGGAAUCUUCACUUCACCGAUCACAUCGUGUUUUGAGAAACGGUCGAAGUCAUACACAGACAUGACCAGAGUCUUUCCUCCCAUUUCAUUGAAAGGAAU